rnacentral:misc_RNA from 1 species
CAACCCUCGAACCCCCUCCGGGGGGGUCGGCGUUGGGGAUCGGGCCCCCCUCACCGGGAGCCCGGCCCUGAAAUGCAGUGGCGGUCUCGCCGCAGCCUUCCCCUGCGCAGUAGUUUGCACAACUCGCACCGGGAGCGCGGCGCGUCCACGCCCGUAAAACACCCAACUCCUGAAAUG